CAAGUAGCUGGGACUACAGGUGCCCGCCACCAUGCCUGGCUAAUUUUUUAAUGUAUUUUUUAGUAGAGACAGGGUUUCACCGUGUUAGCCAGGAUGGUCUUGAUCUCCUGACCUUGUGAUCCACCUACCUCGGCCUCCCAGAGUGCUGGGAUUACAGGGGUGAACCACUGCGCUCGGCUUUGCCACGAUCAGCUUGGCUUUUUAAAACUUUAGUUUUGUUUUUAUUACUCCAUACCUCUUCAACUCUCAGUAAGUCACUAGUGGCCUGAAACAAAAUGUAAGUGCGCUAGGGAGCUUCCUCUGUGGGAUGAGCCAUUUUAUAACACAAAACCUUCUGCCACACGGAUCGCCUUUUCAUCAUUAAUUUGUCUGGUAAAUAUCACAUUAGUCCAGGCUUUACAAAAUCAGAUACUAGAUGUACUUCCCAUGAAAACAUGAACAAAUCUGCAUUUGGAAGAUCUGGGUGGCAGGACACAGAGGUGAGGGACCUUUCCGGAGGGUCCAAGUCCUCCCUCUGGAGGACAGUCACUAUCUAGAACUGUGUCUACAGGAACUGUUUUCAUGCAUCCAGAUGUGGACAUGAAGGACCAGCCCACGGUAAUGACUGGCUAAGUCAAUUCCAUACAUAUUUACUGAGCAUUCCCCAUGCCCUGGGCGCUGAGAGGGUCCCCCUAGGAAGCAGGUGCAUCCUGCCCUUGGUGAGAUUAGGCUUCUGUCGUACUCAGUCAGUGCAAUAUCGUCAACUCCCAAGACCCCUACCUAGCCAGGUAGAGGAGAGGAUUGGAGAGAAAUCAUUAAGUCACUUCAGCCCUUUUAAUUAGCUUUUUCCAGUCUCAAGUGCUACUGCAGGUAUGAGGGAAGUGAAGCCCUGAGCGCUGCUCCGGAGGAUUUGGCAUGCGAGUGAGUGGGAAAGAAAGAAAGCUCCUUCAAUGACUGCCGUGGAAAAAGUGCCCCGGAUUGGCGCAUCUGAAGCUGACGUGCGCACGGGUCACCUGGGAGUCCUGUCAAAAUGUAGGUUCUGAUUUGCUGGAUUGGGGUGUGGCCCAACAACCUGCAUUUCCGGUUUGCCCAGGUGAUGUUCAUGCCACUGAUCCUGAGCCACACUUUGAGAAGCCAGGUAAAGCCCCAUGAUCAGCACGGGAGGGGGCACAGGGAGCUGUGGUGAUCUGGGGACACUGCAGGCUGCUGGGGGCUGCCUUGGACCUUGAAGGAGAGACAGGUUGGAGGCAGUAGCAGUUGUGGAGGCCAGGAUGUCACAGGGCAGGAGUGGGGCUGGAAAGGGCAGAGGGGGGAGGCCCCCAGCCCCUGCCUAGGCUGCUUUUAUUCUGUAAAGAGGUUUUUACUCUAGACCUUCCAUUUUCCUGGAAGUGAAGGUCUGACAUGCAUUGAUCCAGAAGGGCUUUCCCAGGCAGGCAAGUUCCUGAUGGGUGGGGAGUGGAUAGGGAGCAGCAGGUGGCACGGGGUUUCUGUGACCGGGACCUGUGAUCCUCUUGCCUUUGGGCAGCCAGUGGGUCCACAAGCCAUCCAAGGGCAAAGUUUGUGCUUUUAGAAAUUUCUUUCCGAGGAAGCGAUUAGCCAGCCAGACCUGUUGUCCUUUUGCAAGCAGCAAAUUACCCAGGAAAAUGUAAUUACCCAUUUGCUUUGUUAUUAGUGCACAGCUAAGAAGAUUGAAGCAAUCGCCCCUUUCAUGGUAUUUCAAAGCUUACUCACACGAUGCAUCCCUGAUAUUAAACACAAUGAGACUUUUUUGAAUUCAAUUAAGCAUUUGCCUACUGUGACUCUUUAUUCAUUGCAAAUUGUCUCAGUAAAUAAUCUUCAUCAAAAGUCAGAACCAAUCCCCAUUAGUUGUUUAGAUUAAUUAAUGGGUCCCCCUGGAGCCACCCAAAUCAAUUCAAUUUGAACGUCAACAACUUGGCGAUGGAGUUUCCCAGGUUGGCAUUAAGACAAUAUUAAACCUGCAAUAAGUCACAUUUAAAAUGUUAAUUCAGAGAAGCUCUCCAUUUAGAGCAUUUAAUUAAAUCCUUAAAUAAACUGCCUGGGCUCAGUACCAGAUGGUUCUGCGUUUUCAUGGCAGCACAAAACCUUGAAGUCAUUGUGGGAAGUAAUAUCGGAGGCGCGGUGAAGACAACCAGGAUAUAUAGAGUAAUAAAAUCUAAUCUCGUUUCCAGCGGGGAGAUUCAGUGUAUGUACACAACCCGGGCUCAAAUUGUAAGUUAAUUACAUUAACCCCAGUGUACUCCAGGAUCUGAGCAGCCAGAGAUGAAAUUAGUCUUUUUCCUAUCAUAAGAUUCUUUUCAACUUCACUAUAUUAAUUUUUAGCCAAAUACUCACUCAUAAGGAAAAUUGAAGUUAAUGUAACCAAAGAUAAAGUAAGGCAGCCUUAAUAUUCUGAAGGGAUUAUGGAGACCCGUGAAAAUAUACUCUGCAAAUAUCAUCGACGUGGAGUGGAUUUAUGGAGUUGGGCGGGGGAGAAGAAAUGAAGACGCCAAGAAGACCCUCGUCUCUGCCCAUUUUCCCCCCUGCCAGCCUAGGGUUAAUAAAGGACCUAAUCUAGGAAAUGUAGUCCUUGGAGCAAACAGCCUCCCAAGGGUGGUGGAGGGUGCUGGGGGAGGAGACAGAUGGCCUCUGAGAGCAGUUAGGCCUUCAUGUCAGGGGCAGGUGAGGGGCCCAAGUGUCCCCUGGCAGCAGGAUUACCUCUGUCCGCCCCCUGGGUGGCCCAGAAAUCUCCAUGGUUCAGCCUCUUAAUCUCCCUACUCUGAGGAGACAAGUCACACUUCUCGGUCUUUCCCUUGGGAUGUCAAGAGGGACCACUGGCUCCUCUGUCUGCCAACCCGGAGACCCUCAGGUAGCACCCUUAGUUACUGCAGUGGUCCCGUGGUGACUGAAGAUCUAACGCAAAUUUCUUUUAAAACAGCUUCCUCCAAAAGUCUAUCAAUUCUCCAACAACUAAGAAAAACUACACAUCACCCAUUCAGUCUUGGGAGCCUGCAUUCCCAAGGGGCUGUGUCUCCCACUGCAGUCCCAUCACCCUGCCAUCUGGGGAAAGAAAGCAAACCGAAAACCUUAGAACAGUAAAAGCAUUCAUCGCGUGGCCGGCUGAGGCUUGAGCUUGCUGGAGAAGUGAGGUUUCUAAAGAGCUCUGCCCCACUGACACCUCAAGCUGCCCUGACUGCUCCUCCCUGAGCUGAGAGGUGCCAUCAGCUGUCAGACCUGGCCUCAGGGUAACAGGCAACGAAGGCACAGGGUCAGAAGGAUGGAAGGCUGGAGUUGC
rnacentral:lncRNA from 1 species